CCACGCUCUGGGCUCAGUGCACCCACAGCUUUUCGGAAGAUCCUCACUUCCCCAAGCAUGCGUCUGCUCCUUCUCCUGGCUCCAAAGCAGGGGAUUGUCCUGACCCUGCCACAGCCGGCCGCUAGGAACACUUGGGGGUUAGGAGCUUCCUUUGUUCCUACGCAGGAGACAGAGCCUGUUGACUAGCCCUGAACCAGCCCCCGAGGCCCGAGGAACGUCUGGAGCUGGUCAUCUGAGGCCAUCCCUUGUGUGAUCACUCGCUACAGCAAGGGCAGUCGGGUUACCCUGCUUGGUUGAGACAUGAAAGCAAUCAGGGCCCACCCCUGGAGCCGGAGGUGCACGGAGCCCCUCCAGCCAACCUAGCUGCCACUUCAGGUGGAAAGGAAGAAUGUGGAUGGAGGGGAACCAAACGCACGUCUGUCUCGUUACAACGUGUUGGUCUUUGGUGAGUUUGCCCUCGGAGGAUUGCUUCCCGCUUGGCCUGCUCUGCUCUGUAUUGUCAGCGUGUGCGUGUGCGCAUGCGCGCGCAUGCCCGCAGUGGAGAGGGGCUGGUCCCCGGAGGAUGUGUUUCCCCGUCUCCCAGGGCCGCUGACUUCUCCUGGCCUCAGCCAAUGGGAAGCGUUAUUGAAGAAGCGGAGAGAAGAGGGCAGGGAGAAGCCAGAGUAUUUCUCCCCAUCUCUGUCGGCCUCGGGCAGCUUCUCUGGAAACAGCCGCCUCGCCUGCCAGGCUCCAGCUCCCCCAGACGGGCCCUUCGUCAUCUCAGCUUCCACCUGGUGGCCCCAUCCCUGGGCCCCGAAACCACCACCUUGUGUCCCUCCAGCCUACGGGUGGGGGCUUCCUGCCGUUCCCAGGUUCCAGGGCGCACGCGUCACCACCCUGUUGGGUCUCAGCAGCUCCACCCCUGUGUAAACCACUUCCCUCUGUUCCACUCCACCGUCUCGCUGGACUAAACAAGCCUUGUAAGCCGUCUCCCUACCCCCUGCCCUGGCCUCUUGCUCCAAUCCAUUCUUCACACAGCAGUGUGAAAUGUUCCUGUGCCAAGAAAGUGCCUGGCUCACUGCAGAUCCUUGACGCUGCUGGGGAGUGAAUAAGUGAGGUCUGAGAGGAGGGCAGCGUCAAGGGAUGAAGACGUUGGCUCCUUACCCACUGGUCUGGCAUCUUGGUGGACACCCUGACUGUCCAGGGUGGCUGGAACCUCUUACCUGCUGCUUCUCUCCCUCCACCCUGCACCCACCUACCCCUCUCCCUGCCUGAGAGUCAGCUCACUCCCUUCCACCACCACCCCACCACCCCCGCAGCCCCUGCCACCACCAGAAGGAGCGGAUGGGAGGGGCAGCCUCAAGACCACAGGCGCUACCCAACUCAACUAUGGGGAACUUAUGAUACGUUAAAAACAACAGAUUUAAGAGGAGCUCGAGCAAAGAAGACAGACAUUCAAUGUUAGCUAAGGCCUCAAAAUAAAAUAUUGACUUCAAGACAGACUUUUUGAAAGACUCUGGCAGAAGCCAAUAAAAAGAAUUCAUUUUCACUUAAAUCUUCUGAAACCCACCCUCCUUGCAUCUUUUUCUCCAUACUGUAAAUUAUCUUUACUCACCGACACCCAAUUAUACCUCUCCUGCUCCUUCUUCUCCUUCCCCUGACCUGCUAGGUCAACUACCUGUUCCCAGCAUUUUUCUCAGGAAAGGGUCACAUUUCACAGUAUGCCCUCAAAAUUGCUCGGCUAAAAGGCUGAUCUGGAAGUCAAAUUUAAGUUAAGGGCUAUAAUUAAGGAUUCCAAAACCUCAGGAAGACAGACAAAAGAAGUCUGCAGAAUUAUGGAUUUUGUUAGUUAGUUACUAUCCUGGAUGACCAGAUCCAUACCAAUGAGUUCACUCAACUUUAAGCCCCUCACGUGGGGGAAUGUUUAAGAGAAUGGGAAAAGCCAAGGAAGGAUUUAAAUAACCCAGCUGCACAUGAUUCAGAUAUUGGCCUUGAGAGGACAAGCAAACUAGAAAAUGAAAUACAUAUGGCCAUUACCGAAGUCUUCCCCUUAAAGGGAGAUUGGACAAAAAGUCAAAGUUGUGAAUAAAAUGAAGAUGACUCAGUAGGACACUAGACUUCAGGAAACCUUUCAACAAUAUUCUAAGAUCCAUCUAGCAGCUGAAGUAAAAGGAGCCUUACCCUCUCUUUUUAGAAAUAGACUCACAUCUCAGAUAGAAAACUUAGUCAGAAAAAUAAAUUGGAGUGGGAAAUUGCCAAUUUAGAAGAUCUGCAAAGUGCAGCUUAACAUUUUCAAAAAGCCCUAGAAAAUAAACAAGCUAGAAAUGAAAACAAACUCUUGG
rnacentral:lncRNA from 1 species